AGGCCGAUAUUAGUCUAA
rnacentral:miRNA from 1 species